UGUAGCUCAGUUGGUAGAGCAUGGCUCUUGCAAUGCCAGGAUAGUGGGUUCGAAUCCUAGGACCA
rfam:Salmo salar isolate Sally breed double haploid chromosome ssa10, whole genome shotgun sequence.